rnacentral:rRNA from 1 species
AUUUGGAAGUGAAACGUUUACGUUCCUGAAUAUAUCUGGUUUUUUUAGAAAUUAAUUUAAUUAAUUUUAUACUUUUUAAUUUUUUUAUUAAAAUUUUAAUUUUAUAAGAAAGUAGGUUUGGGGAUUAGCUCGAAUUUAAAUUUUUAAAAUUGACUAUUAUUAUGCGGGGUUGCUAGUAACAGAAGUUUAUUUGCAUGAAAGAGUGUUAUAACUAUCCUUGUAUUAUUUUUUAUUUAUAAUUAAUUUAAAUUUUUUAUAAAAACUUUUUGUGUAAUUAUUAUUUAAUAAUGAUAAUGAUGGAAUUAGUAUAGGAAAGGGUUUAUAUAUUUUGAUUGGUUAGGUAUUUCAAAGGAAUUCGGCAAAAGAUUCUUUACCUGUUUAUUAAAAACAUGGCCUUUCGAAUAUUAUUUGAGGUCUGGCCUGCCCACUGAAUAUUAAAGGGCCGCGGUAUUUU